GACCUGAUGGUAGGACAUAGUCUGUCGAUGGAGAAAGCAGCCUAUGAGCCAAGGGAGAGAAAUCAGGAAAUAGAAGAGGGAGGGGGGCAAAGAGAGCAGCACUAUAGGGAGCAGAGAUGGACUCAGAGAAGCCUGGCUUUUGGCUUAGAGCUGGACCCUCUCCUACUUGCUAACUUCCUUUUCUUGUCCCUCCUUUUCCUCUUCCUCCUUUCACACAUAGGGAAGCAUAAAGGACAAGUUUGCUCCUUCCUCUGUUUCACAUAAAACGGGUAUUUGUGCAGAGCUGUGUGCAAGGAAUCAUCCCCUUAGACUGGGAGCUCCUCCAGGCCAGGGCCUGGCUCAGGCCUUUCUUUGUAUCCUGACAGGCCUCCUUCCCCCCUGCCCCAUCCCCUAGACCAAGGCUGGCUGCAUUGCUCAGGUAGGCGAGAGCCCCUCCUGCCUGGGGCCUUGGUGGAGUCCCUUAAGCCGAUGGGCGACUGAGUCUCCUAUCCAGACUGAGACAGGAGGUGGACAAAUGGGCAGUGACUUCCUGUUUACCCUGACCUGUCAUGGAGCAAUCACCUGCUUUUUCCCUCCCAGUAUCAGGGCAUAUUCGGGAAGAUGGCCUGGAGAACAGGAGGACCUUGGCCCUUUGAGAAAGGCUAACUUUUUGAAGAGGAGCCAGCUCUAUUUGAUUGUUGGCCCCCAUUGCGGCAAUCCGUUUUCUCCUAUUACCCAGUGCAGACUUGGCCCGUUUGUACAGGCUGCUUUUAACUGGUGCCAGCAACUCUCUGCAGCCCCCCUUAGCCAUGGGGCUGUUAGCCCUGGUGUUGGGGGGAUCCCUUUCAAGGAAAGGGGGUACUCCUCGCGGCAGUAAGUUGACCUAUGGGGAGAGGCUUCAGUGACCUGACCGUGGGGCAAAGUCUGUGGAUGAAAAAGGCAGCCUAUGAGCCAAGGGAGAGAAAUCAGGAAAUAGAAGAGGGAGGGGGGCAAAGAGAGCAGCACUAUAGGGAGCAGAGAUGGACUCAGAGAAGCCUGGCUUUUGGCUUAGAGCUGGACCCUCUCCUACUUGCUAACUUCCUUUUCUUGUCCCUCCUUUUCCUCUUCCUCCUUUCACACAUAGGGAAGCAUAAAGGACAAGUUUGCUCCUUCCUCUGUUUCACGUAAACGGGUAUUUGUGUAGAGCUCUGUGCAAGGAAUCAUCCCCUUAGACUGGGAGCUCCUCCAGGCCAGGGCCUGGCUCAGGCCUUUCUUUGUAUCCUGACAGGCCUCCUUCCCC
rnacentral:lncRNA from 1 species